UUAAUUUGUUCCUUCGUUGAAUUGACCUUUUAAAUUCUAAUUGUCAAUCAUUGGACUGAUUUUUCCAAAAAUUAAUUUUUCUAAUUGUUAUUCAAUUUUUGUUUGAUUUAAAUUCUCAAUUACUAAAGUUUGUAGAUCUUCAAAUUUGAUUAGAUUUGAAUUGUAAUCAAUCGGAGAGAAAAAAAUUGAAAUAAUUAAAACCGUUGGAUGAUUGGAGAGACCCUUUAAUUAAAGUAUAUAGGUGAUUGUAAAGAGGAUAAAUACCUUGUCGUUAAUGGUGGUGACAAUUUAAUGAUUUGGUUAAAUUGUUCUCAUGGUUAUCCCGUUGGUGACUCCUUAAGGUGGGCUGUUUCUUAAUCCAGUCCAGAAAUCAAGGCCAUGUGAGGCCUCACCUUUUAUGUAAAGGAAAAGCAUAAUUAUGACUUUACCAUUGGCGAAGCACAAAAAGUUGAUUACAUUGGAUAAAGAAAGUGAUUAAAAAGAGGAGAUGAGACAAAUUGGAAAACUGAUUUAAUGUUAAUCAUCGUUCGUCAUUAGCUAUGGGUAUACAAAUUAUUCUGUUAGCAAUUUGAAUAGCGACCAAUUUAACACCAAAGGGAAAAUGUCAAAUUAUUCAAAUACAUUCACUGAUUAUAUUUAUUAAGAUGCAACAAUUUACCCAAGACACUCAAGUAAUUUGUGAAUUGCUUUCAUCUCCAAACCUCAACUAAUUAACUGAACAACCAGAUAAUUCACAUUUCCGUUACAAUUAAGAGUUGACAUGACAACAAUCACAAUUCCUAUGACAAGAUAAAGUAACGAUUGAUCCUCAUUUAAUAUCAUCAUCAUCGUGUUGAUCAAAUUAAAUAGUGUAACAAUUAUGUUACUUUUAUGGCAAUUGAAUCAAUGGAAAACAAAGUCAAACCAAAAUCAAAUUGGAAUCAACAAGUUAACUUGACGAAAAAGAUAAUUGAAAGUUAAAUCCAGUUACCAACUUGAUCAUCUCCCUCUUUUUUAUCAACAAUCAAAUUAAUCCAUGAAUCUGUUUCAGUUAUUCAAACAUUUGCUCAACAAUCAAUCAAUAACAUUUAUUGUUAAAUCAAAUAGCUAUUUGAUUACUAGUAAUCAAUUAACUUCAGCAAUCAACAUCUAAUUGCAAAUAACAAUCUUUUUUGAUUGAAACAAUUUGACAAUGAAUAACAUUGUUAAUUCAACGAGAAAGUUAAAUUGUGAUCCCAACAAUUACGAGUUAAUAGUAAUCAAUUCUAAGAUUAGAAUUGGAUUAACCUCUAAAUCGUUUGAAAUUAAACUUGAUUAACAUGGGAAAUCGUUGAUUGUUUAAUCUCCAUCGGGAGUAUUAAUCACUUUGAGAAACAGAUUAAAAGUGAUUUAAUUAUAAUUACAAUUUAAAUGUUGUGAUAAAUUCCAAUUCACAGAAUCAAAAAAUUGUUAAAUUAUCUAAAAUUUAGUUUAUAAAUUGUUACAAGUUAAUCAGUUGGACUAAUUUUCUCUGGCAACUUUUAUGAUCAUUUUAUUCAAUUCUCAAUCUACAAUCAAUAAAUUGAAAAUUUCAGUUAACAAUUAAGACAUGGAAAAGAGGAAACAACUAGAAAGAUAAUCGUAAUCAAUAAUUAACUUAAUUGUUAACCUUUAUCCAAUAAUUGAUUGUUCAAUUUUGUUGUCAUUAAUUUUUUUCUCUCUUAAUUCAAUUGUAUUUUUAAUCACAGAUUAAAUCAACUAAUUAUUGUUCAUUGUUGUCAAUGUGUUGGUAUCAUUACAAAAGCACUUAAAUUAUCGCUAAAUUGUUUUCCUAAUUAUGGAUUCUCACAAAAUCUAUUGUUAUUUUGUACUUGUAAUUAUAUCAAAAUUACUGAUCAAUUAACCUAAUCAAUGAUUCCAAUUGAGCUGAUGAUUAGUUGAUCGAUUCAAGUUGAAAAUUUGUAUUCCAACAUUUGAAAGGGAGUAACAAAGAGUAUCACAAUUAGAAUUUAAUUAAACGUGUGAUUUAGUGAGAACUGGAUUAAAGAUGGCAAUUAAAACCGCCGAUGAAAAAACUCGAUUGGUCUCUGGUCCAUCUCGAAAAUAUGGUUCAAAGGAUAUCUCGAUGCCUACGAAGUUUACGAUUCAGUGCCAAGCUUCUUUUAUAAAGGAAGUCAUCUUGCUCUUUUCAUCGUUGUGAUCAUCAUAAUGGUUUCCUUUGUGAGUGCUUCAUUAAGUUUCGGACUCAAGAGACUGGAAGAGAUUUAAAAUUAAUCACUAAUCAUCAAAAGACGAUCAGAAUUACGGAUCAUAUUCAUGGGGAAGAUAAUUUGGAUUCAUUAGUUGAAUUGCGUUUCCAUUUGAGGUGAAAAUGAUCAUGGUGAUUUUAAACAAUCCUUUUUGAUUAUCACUCCAUUUAGUGUUUGUAUUAAUCGUUACAAUCAAUGAAUAAAAACUUUGUGCCUUAA